rnacentral:rRNA from 1 species
AUUGAACGCUGGCGGCUGGCCUAACACAUGCAAGUCGAGCGCGAAAGUCUUCGGAUGAGUAAAGCGGCGGACGGGUGAGUAAUUCAUGGGAAUCUGUCUGGUAGUGGGGGACAACGUUGCGAAAGGAACGCCAAUACCGCAUAAGCCCUACGGGGGAAAGGGGGGGGACUUCGGACCCAUCGCUAUCCGAUGGGCCAUUGUCAGAUUAGCUUGUUGGUGAGGGAAAGGCUCACCGAGGCGACGAUCUGUAACUGGUCUGAUAGGAUGAUCAGUCACACUGGAACUGAGACACGGUCCAGACUCCUACGGGAGGCAGCAGUGGGGAAUAUUGGACAAUGGGCGAAAGCCUGAUCCAGACAUGCCGCGUGUGUGAAGAAGGCCUUAGGGUUGUAAAGCACUUUCAGUGGGGAGAAAGGUAAUUCACCUAAUACGUGAGUUAAUUGAUGUUACCCACAGAAGAAGCACCGGCUAACUCCGUGCCAGCAGCCGCUGUAA